GCAGCUGCCGAAGGUGGGAUUGAUGAUUGGGGUGAAGUCGUAACAAGGUAGCCGUAUCGGAAGGUGCGGCUGGAUCACCUCCUUU
rnacentral:ncRNA from 1 species